rfam:Oryza barthii chromosome 8, whole genome shotgun sequence.
AAAAGGGAUAAACCCUAGUUUCCGUGUGCAAUGUUUGACCGUCCGUCUUAUUUAAAAAAACUAUGAAAAAAAUUAAAAAGACAAGUCACGCAUAAAAUAUUAAUCAUGUUUUAUCAUCUAACAACAAUGAAAAUAUGAAUUAUAAAAAAAAUUUCAUAUAAGACGGACAAUUAAAGUUGGACACGGAAAUUUAGGGUUUGCCUUUAUU